UUUAUGGAGAGUUUGAUCCUGGCUCAGGAUGAACGCUGGCGGCGUGCCUAAUACAUGCAAGUCGAGCGAACGGAUGAGAAGCUUGCUUCUCUGAUGUUAGCGGCGGACGGGUGAGUAACACGUGGAUAACCUACCUAUAAGACUGGGAUAACUUCGGGAAACCGGAGCUAAUACCGGAUAAUAUUUUGAACCGCAUGGUUCAAAAGUGAAAGACGGUCUUGCUGUCACUUAUAGAUGGAUCCGCGCUGCAUUAGCUAGUUGGUAAGGUAACGGCUUACCAAGGCAACGAUGCAUAGCCGACCUGAGAGGGUGAUCGGCCACACUGGAACUGAGACACGGUCCAGACUCCUACGGGAGGCAGCAGUAGGGAAUCUUCCGCAAUGGGCGAAAGCCUGACGGAGCAACGCCGCGUGAGUGAUGAAGGUCUUCGGAUCGUAAAACUCUGUUAUUAGGGAAGAACAUAUGUGUAAGUAACUGU
rnacentral:rRNA from 1 species